AAACAUGUUUGCUGUUACUGUGGCCAAACAACUCCAUCUUUGAUUCAUCUGUCCAGAGCACAUUAUUCCAAAAGGCCUGGUCUUUGCCUAUAUGCUCAUUGGCAAACUGUAUUCUUGCAAAGGAUUUUUCCUGGCACACCUCCCAUGCAGGUCAAAUUUGUGCAGUCUCUUUCUGAUUGUAGAAGCAUGCACUUUGACACCAACAGCUGCAAGAUGCUGUGACGAAAUUUUGGGUUUCUUUGAGACUUCUUUUUGCAUCAGCUGGUCUGCUCUUGGGCUGAAUUUGCUGGGACGGCAAGGAUGUUAGGGCAGAUUUCAACUAGGCUAUAUCAAUAUUUUAGAUCAGACUCCAACCAGGUUGAAAAAGUAUGUUGGAUCAGAUCCCAACUAGGCUAUAUGUGAAUGCUAGAUCAGAUUCCAGCCAGGUUGAAAAAGGAUGUUGGAUCGGAUCCCAACUAGGCUAUAUGUGAAUGCUAGAUCAGACUCCAACCAGGUUGAAAAAGGAUGUUGGAUCAGAUCCCAACUAGGAUAUUUGUGAAUGCUAGAUCAGAUUCCAACCAGGUUGAAAAAGGAUGUUGGAUCAGAUCCCAACUAGGCUAUAUGUGAAUGCUAGAUCAGAUUCCAACCAGGUUGAAAAAGGAUGUUGGAUCAGAUCCCAACUAGGAUAUCUGUGAAUGCUAGAUCAGAUUCCAACCAGGUUGAAAAAGGAUGUUCGAUCUGAUCCCUGCAAGUUAUACUAGAAUGUUAGGUAAGAUCACAGGCAGCUUGUAUCAGGAUGUUGGCUCAGAUCCCAACCAGGCUAUAUGUGAAUGCUAGAUCAGAUUCCAACCAGGUUGAAAAAGGAUGUUGGAUCAGAUCCCAACUAGGAUAUCUGUGAAUGCUAGAUCAGAUUCCAACCAGGUUGAAAAAGGAUGUUCGAUCUGAUCCCUGCAAGUUAUACUAGAAUGUUAGGUAAGAUCACAGGCAGCUUGUAUCAGGAUGUUGGCUCAGAUCCCAACCAGGUUAUAUGUGAAUGUUAGAUCAGAUUCCAACCUGGUUAUAUGAGACUGUUAGAUCAGAUCCCAACUGGUUAUGCCAGGAUGUUAGAUCAGAUCCCAACCAGGUUAUAUGUGAAUGUUAGAUCAGAUUCCAACCUGGUUAUAUGAGACUGUUAGAUCAGAUCCCAACUGGUUAUGCCAGGAUGUUAGAUCAGAUCCCAACCAGGUUAUAUGUGAAUGUUGGAUCAGAUUCCAACCUGGUUAUAUGAGACUGUUAGAUCAGAUCCCAACUGGUUAUGCCAGGAUGUUAGAUCAGAUCCCAACCAGGUUAUAUGUGAAUGUUAGAUCAGAUUCCAACCUGGUUAUAUGAGACUGUUAGAUCAGAUCCCAACUGGUUAUGCCAGGAUGUUAGAUCAGAUCCCAACCAGGUUAUAUGUGAAUGUUGGAUCAGAUUCCA
ensembl:lncRNA